GCUCACGAGAGGCAGUGACAAGCACCUGGCUGGCUGCCCGGCAACCUCUACUCCGUCUGAGGUGCUCCCAGGGGAAGAGCCGGCCGGACGGCGCCCGCCGCCCGGCAAGGACGGAGC
rnacentral:ncRNA from 2 species